CAAUAGCGUAUAUUAAAGUUGUUGCAGUUAAAAAGCUCGUAGUUGGAUUUCGGGGUGGCCUGCCUGGUCCACCGCAAGGUGAGUACUGGUCAGCCGCCCUUCCUCUCGAAAGCCCCGACUGCUCUUCAUUGCAGUGGUCGGGUAGUUCGGGACGUUUACUUUGAAAAAAUUAGAGUGUUCAAGGCAGGCUAUCGCCUGAAUACAUUAGCAUGGAAUAAUGGAAGAGGACCUCGGUCCUAUUUUGUUGGUUUCUAGGGCCGAAGUAAUGAUUAAGAGGGACAGUUGGGGGCAUUCGUAUUUAAUUGUCAGAGGUGAAAUUCUUGGAUUUAUGGAAGACGAACUAGUGCGAAAGCAUUUGCCAAGGAUGUUUUCAUUAA
rnacentral:rRNA from 1 species